CCUACGGGUGGCAGCAGUGAGGAAUAUUGGUCAAUGGACGAGAGUCUGAACCAGCCAAGUAGCGUGAAGGAUGACUGCCCUAUGGGUUGUAAACUUCUUUUAUAUGGGAAUAAAACAGGGUAUGCAUACCCUCUUGUAUGUACCAUAUGAAUAAGGAUCGGCUAACUCCGUGCCAGCAGCCGCGGUAAUACGGAGGAUCCGAGCGUUAUCCGGAUUUAUUGGGUUUAAAGGGUGCGUAGGCGGAGUGUCAAGUCAGCGGUAAAAUUUCGGGGCUCAACCCCGUCGUGCCGUUGAAACUGACGCCCUUGAGUGAGUGAGAAGUAAGCGGAAUGCGUGGUGUAGCGGUGAAAUGCAUAGAUAUCACGCAGAACGCCGAUUGCGAAGGCAGCUUACCGGCGCUCAACUGACGCUGAGGCACGAAAGUGCGGGUAUCGAACAGGAUUAGAUACCCUAGUAGUC
rnacentral:rRNA from 1 species